GGCAGAGGGAGCCCGACCCCCGUGCCCCCGACCGACAGCGACGGGGCAUGAGGAAAGUCCCCCCACCGAACCGGACGGGCGACCGGACGCAAGUCCGGGGUCGGAGACGGCCGGCUCUGGAACAGAAACGAGACCGCCCGGCGCGACCGAUGAGGCGUGCGAACCGACCCGCGAGGGGAGGGAGCUAACCCGCCGAGGGUCGACCGCCGGGGACGGGUGGAACGGCGAAUCCUCGCCGGUGCAAGUCCGCGCCAGGGGGCGGCGCACGCCCCCGAAGGUAGUCCGGGGACGGCGCGGACGCUCAGCCGAAUGUCGGGCCGAACCGAAGGGGGCUUACUCCCCUCAGCC
rnacentral:RNase_P_RNA from 2 species